rnacentral:tRNA from 2 species
GGAGAGGUGGGUGAGUGGCUAAAACCAACGGUUUGCUAAACCGUCCUGCCCAAAAGGCAGACGCGGGUUCGAAUCCCGCCCUCUCCG